ACUAUCCAUAAAGAGGGUUCAUCACUUUCACAUUUUAUUCUCAUCAUCUCAAAAUAAUUAAAAAAGAUGGUGUAGUGUGGAUUAUAAUAGUUACCAACCAUUAAAACAAAAAACUAAAUUACAAUGAAGUUUAUAUCAUAUUAGUAAAUUUUACCAAGCAGGAAUAAAAUAGAAUAAUCCGCCUCACUCAACUCUCUCUCUUUGUCACAGAAUCACCACCAACUUCGCUUCCAUGUCCACCUCGCGGCUUCGCCAUAUAGCACCUCUCUCUGCCAUGUCCACCAAAGACGGUGCUGGCAACAACGCUGUUUCUUCCUUUGCCACCGCCACUACUUCCAAUGAUUACGAAGGUUAGCUCAAUAUUCAUUUCUUACAAAGUGUCAUUUUUUAUCAUUU
rnacentral:lncRNA from 1 species